rnacentral:rRNA from 2 species
UACCGCGAAGAACCUUACCAGGUCUUGACAUCCUCUGACAAUCCUAGAGAUAGGACGUCCCCUUCGGGGGCAGAGUGACAGGUGGUGCAUGGUUGUCGUCAGCUCGUGUCGUGAGAUGUUGGGUUAAGUCCCGCAACGAGCGCAACCCUUGAUCUUAGUUGCCAGCAUUCAGUUGGGCACUCUAAGGUGACUGCCGGUGACAAACCGGAGGAAGGUGGGGAUGACGUCAAAUCAUCAUGCCCCUUAUGACCUGGGCUACACACGUGCUACAAUGGRCAGAACAAAGGGCAGCGAAACCGCGAGGUUAAGCCAAUCCCACAAAUCUGWWSUCAGUUCGGAUCGCAGUCUGCAACUCGACUGCGUGAAGCUGGAAUCGC